CCUACGGGUGGCAGCAGUGGGGAAUAUUGGACAAUGGGGGCAACCCUGAUCCAGCCAUGCCGCGUGUGUGAAGAAGGCCUCGGGUUGUAAAGCACUUUCAGUGAGGAAGAACGCCUGGUGGUUAAUACCCAUCAGGAAAGACAUCACUCACAGAAGAAGCACCGGCUAACUCCGUGCCAGCAGCCGCGGUAAUACGGAGGGUGCGAGCGUUAAUCGGAAUUACUGGGCGUAAAGCGCGCGUAGGUGGCUUGAUAAGCCGGUUGUGAAAGCCCCGGGCUCAACCUGGGAACGGCAUCCGGAACUGUCAAGCUAGAGUGCAGGAGAGGAAGGUAGAAUUCCCGGUGUAGCGGUGAAAUGCGUAGAGAUCGGGAGGAAUACCAGUGGCGAAGGCGGCCUUCUGGACUGACACUGACACUGAGGUGCGAAAGCGUGGGUAGCAAACAGGAUUAGAUACCCCAGUAGUC
rnacentral:rRNA from 1 species